UCCAGUGUUCUUGCCUGGAGAAUCCCAGGCACGGCGGAGCCUGGUGGGCUGCUGUCUAUGGGGCCCACAGAGUCGGACACGACUGAAGGGACUUAGCAGCAGCAGCAGGUUGGUCAACGUCAUGCCUUCUGCCGCCAUCUGCAGUGAUUUUGGAGCCCAAGAAAAUGAAAUCUGCCACUGUUUCUAUUGCUUCCCCAUCUAUUUGCCCUGAAGUGAUGGGAGCGGAUGCCACGAUCUUGGUUUUUUUGAGUGUUGACUUUUAAGCCAGCUUUUCCACUCUCCUCUUCCACCCUCAUCAAGAGGCUGGGCCAACUCAGAGCCAUGGUUUUCCUGUGCUGCUGCUGCACCCCUGCCCACUGGCUCUCAAGGGUCAAAGGGGGUCCUGGGCAUCUCACCAGCCACACGAGGCACUCGAGGACCAGCAGAGCACUGGGCCCCUGCUGGGAUGGCCCUGAGUACAGUGGACCCCGCCGUUUCCUCCCAGACCUCGGGCGAAGUCACUUUAAGGAGGCUGGAGGGUGGUGUCUGUGAGCCAGAUCCUGUCUUCCCCGUUCAACAACUGUGGGAACGCCAGCGGGCGACCUCCCUCUGUGUGUCCUUGUGUGAAGAAUGAGGGUGAUGAUUCUUUCGCCUUGUGUGAGAAGCCUUCUGAGAUGGAUUUCCCAGGAGAGCUCUAGGUUCAAGCCUGAGAUCGGCCUGUGUGUCACUUGGCCAAGUCUUGUCUGUCUGUGUCGGCAUCUUAGAGCUGGGCUGCAGUUUGAUCUAUUUUGUCCAGCACGCUAAGCCAGCACAGUAAAGCCGGGCACCUUGUGCAACAGGGCAGGUCUGUCUGCCUUUGCUCACGUCUUCUGCAUAUGGAUGAAACCCAGCAGCCCUCUGUGGCAAGGAACGAGGAGCCUGGAGUGCCACCCCUGUGCGUGGUGAGGCUGGUGUGGGCAGUGGGGGAAAGGGUGGUUCCCACACCAGAGACACACCGCCCACGGCGAUGGGCUCGGUUUCACUACUGUUUCUGAGAAGAGUUACUCCAGGAAGGUAUUCCUCUAGGUCUUGGAACUCCCUUGUCUGGAUGUGGGUGUUGUUGCCCGGCCAAGCAGUGGCACAGCCAGCUUCUCUGGGUGAGAGGCUGAGCUGAGUAGAAUCUACAAAAUCAAGACGUAAGUUCACACCACAUGCUUCUUUUCUAGAAGGAGCAGGCCGUUCUCACCCCAUGGGGGUGAGACCGCAGUGACUGGGGGGCCAGGAGGGGAUGACAUUCGUUUCCAGACAUUCAGUGCCCUGGAUUGGCUCGUCACCAGUGAUCCAUGGGCAGACCUGGCCAUGCCACCCAGCUCCUUGUCCCAGAAUACCAGCAGCAGUUGGAGGUUUGUACAGGACCAGGAUGAUCACCUGGACAAACAGGGAGGCUCAAGAAAUCUCUCUGUAACCUCAUCUGUCAUUAGUGCGAAGUCACUUCAGUCGUGUCUGACCCCGUGGACCAGCCCACCAGGCUCCUCUGCCCAUGGAGUUCUUCAGGUAAGAAUACUAGAGUGGGCUGCCAUGCCAUUCUCCAGGGCAUCUUCCCAACUCAGGGACUGACCCAGGUCUCUUGCACUGCAGGUAGAUUCUUUACCAUCUGAGCCACCGGGGAAGCCCACUGACAUGGUAAAUUACCGACUUACCUUGCUUACGUCUCCCUCACUGGAAUACAAGCCCAGCGAGGGUAAAUUUCUGAUUAUUUUGUGCCCUGAUGUAUCCCUAGCCUCAGAACACCAUCUGCCACAAGUCAGAAGCUGACUCUUACAGCUCCUACUGUGCUCCAGCCACGGUUAUAAAAACCUUACACACACAUUGUGACCCUCACAAUAACCCUGCUGCUAAAUACUAUUGUCAUUCCCAUUUUACAGUUAGUGAAACUGAGGCACAGAUGGUCAGUGAGACCUGCCCAGGUUGCAGGCUGAUGCCUGGCAGAGCUGGGGCUCAAAUACCAUCUGGCGUCAGAGUCUGUGCCCUCUACCACCUCCCUCUGGAGCUUUCUCUCCUCUUGCUCCAGGUGUUAAAUAACUAGACAGGCUGUGUCAUGAAGCAGGGAAGGUCCAGAGGCAAAGCUUUCCACCAGCACUUUGCAGACUAUGACUUGCAAACCACUCUUGGGUCAUAAAAUCAUCACUAGGAAGAGGCAAGGUUAUGUAUUAUCCAUAGCUGUGUUGUAAGCGACUCCUACACUGAAUGGCUUAAACCAGCAGUAGACAUCAUCUCACCCAGUUUCUGAGGUUCGUGAGUUCAGAAGGAGCUUAGCCGGGUCGUUCUGGUCCAAGGUUUCUCACAGGGUUGCAGGCAAGGUGUUGGCCAGGACUACGUCACCUGAAAGCUCAGCUGGGGCUGGAGGACUUGCUUGCAAGGUGGCUCCAAGUGUGUUUGGCAAUUGGUGCUGGCUUCGGGCCUCCCUGGUAGCUCAGCUGGUGAAGAAUCUGCCCACAGUGCAGGAGACCCCAGUUCGAUCCCUGGGUUGGGAAGAUCACCUGGAGAAGGGUGUGGCAACCCACUCAAGUCUUCUUGCCUGGAGAAUCCCCAUGGACAGAGGAGCCUGGCGGGCUACAGUUCAUGGGGUCGCAGAGGGUCAGGCACGACUGAGUGACUAAGUACAUGUUCUUGUUGGCUGGGGGCCUCAGCUUGUCACCAUGUUCAAGGGUCCUCCCAACAUAGCGACCCCCAUAGUGGGCGAUCCCCUUCCCGCAACAGCCUUUCCACCAACCUCAGAAGUCCUGCACCCCCACCUCUGUGAUAUCCCACUGGUGACACAAGGCAGUGCCUUUCAGUGUGGGAGGGGGCUGCACAGGUGUUGCCAGCAGCCGGAGGUGCCAUCUUGGAGGCAGGCUGCCGCAGGCUACUUGUCAGUGAAGUCGCUGACGCCAGCAGGGUUCCAGUGAGAGGCGAGAGCAUGUCACCCUCCACCAACUGCGCCUCCCACUGGGGUCCAGCGCUCCCUGUGGCCUGUAGCUGCUGCCCCGCUCUGCCUUCUGGCCUGGCACCUGGAUGGUUCUCAACACCUGGCACUUAACAAACAGCAGCUGAGCAACCAAGGGACGUGUAUCAGAGAACUCGGUCAGGUGACAAGACAUCUGAUGAUCAAGGGGGAAAGGAGG
ensembl:lncRNA